UACGUAGGGGGCGAGCGUUGUCCGGAAUUAUUGGGCGUAAAGGGUUCGCAGGCGGCCUUUUAAGUCAGAUGUGAAAGCCCACGGCUUAACCGUGGUAAGCAUUUGAAACUGGAAGGCUUGAGUUAAGGAGAGGAAAGUGGAAUUCCUAGUGUAGCGGUGAAAUGCGUAGAUAUUAGGAGGAAUACCAGUGGCGAAGGCGACUUUCUGGACUUAUACUGACGCUGAGGAACGAAAGCGUGGGGAGCAAACAGG
rnacentral:rRNA from 1 species